GGGGAUGUAGCUCAGUUGGGAGAGCGCUUGUCUGGCAGACAAGAGGUCAGGGGUUCGAUUCCCCUCAUCUCCACCA
rnacentral:tRNA from 1 species